rnacentral:lncRNA from 1 species
AGUACGUAUGAAACCAUCUAUAAUUUGGUCCUUGUUAAACAGGCUAGGAUAAAACAUAGUACGUAUAAAACCAUGUAAAAACCGGUCAUUGUUCCACAGUCUAGGAUAAAACACAAAAGGUACAGGUAUGACAAAAAAUAUGUCAACAUUUUAAUUUUAGACAGAAUGAUUGCUGGUGGACGUUUCGUCCCCGAGGGUAUCACCAGCCCAGUAGUCAAUAAUUCGGUGUUGAUAUGAAUAUCAAUAAUGUG